AGAGUUCGAUUAUGGCUCAGGAUGAACGCUAGCGACAGGCUUAACACAUGCAAGUCGAGGGGCAGCACAGGUAGCAAUACCGGGUGGCGACCGGCGCACGGGUGAGUAACGCGUAUGCAACUUACCUAUCAGAGGGGGAUAACCCGGCGAAAGUCGGACUAAUACCGCAUGAAGCAGGGGCCCCGCAUGGGGAUAUUUGCUAAAGAUUCAUCGCUGAUAGAUAGGCAUGCGUUCCAUUAGGCAGUUGGCGGGGUAACGGCCCACCAAACCGACGAUGGAUAGGGGUUCUGAGAGGAAGGUCCCCCACAUUGGUACUGAGACACGGACCAA
rnacentral:rRNA from 1 species